GCUGUUUCUUACUCGGUAAUUGGCGCCCUCAUUGAAGGGAUGCUUCAUGCAUGCAGCACUCCGUUGAUUUGGCCGAUACUGGAACUUGGAAGGAAGCAUUUAUUAGUGUAUUUUAUGUACCCAAAUGGAAGAUUUGUGAACUCCCCUACCUGAAGUAACAGUCGUGUCCAUAGCUGCCAGGAGCCUUCUUGCACCUGCUGCUGCGAUGCCAGUAUUGUAGAGUCCAACCUGGAAUGCCAUGUUUGGAGUAGCAGUGCGUCGCCCAGGCCCCUUUUGAGGAGUGUAGAGUUUCUGGCCCAAUAACUCUAUGGGCAAACAUGGUCCUCCCCAACGCAUGCAUGAGUGGCCCUUAUGUGGUCUGGGCACAAGACUUGUUGAUCGUGACAUUCGGGAGUGCUACCAAUGACUGUUUCCUGAUCAAUCAUGUCCAUACACUGUAUGGUAGGUAAUUACCAACAAUGCCUCAUGAGAAGAAACGAAAUAUUUUUCAAGCAAAGCCUGGCAUAGCGUGUCAGUAUUUGACUGAAAACUUCAGUUCAUUUCCAGAGGGCAGUCUGCAAGUUGGGCACAUCCUCUUCUCGUUCGUUACAAAUGAACGGUCUUUCGUCAGAACUGUUGAGGUGAUCAGAGAAAAGAGUGGUGCAUCAUUUACAUUUUCUACUGCGCAACUGCAGAGCCUUGUACGAACGACACUCAAGAAGUACAAACACUUGUCAGCCAUUCCAUGGUCACUCGCGUGACAUUUGAACAAAAUGUUGAGUUUUAAUGCAUUACUGUUGCUAACAUGCCACUUAUUCAACUCAAAUUAGCAGGUAAUUAAGACAAGGCAUUGUGAAUGUUGUUGUUGUUGUGAGGUUAAUGGCACCUUUGGCACUAUUGUGCCCUUUGUGCCAACUUCAAAUACAGUAGCUGAGUCAAGAAGAAAUCUUCCUCACAGUAAAGACAUCAGGUUUGAACUUUGAGAACGACGGUUAAGAAGAAAAGAAAGGACAAGUCUGAAAACCCAAGAACUGAGAAAUGACUCUGUAAAAAGGAGGCGUGUACUGUAGGAUAUAUAGGAGGAAACCAAAUAAAAAAGAGAUAAUUAUACAUGCAUACAUGCAAAAAGAAACUGGACAAGGCUUAGAUAAGAAGAGCUACAUAUGAAAUGUGAAAACCGUGUAAGGCAAUCAGUAGAGUGACUGGGAAGUGAAGGAUGUUAUGAGGGUGAUAUGACAUCAACGAUCCUCCAGACAUGGAGAUGCUACAGUGUCCUGCAAGCCAGCUGUCUCCCUUGCAAUAUAAGAGCCCGUGCUCCGCCGGUAUGUUCGCAGCCAGUCGUUUGACGUAUGUAUCACAUCAGAAAGCACGGGCAAAUAUGGAUAAAUGUACAUGUAUGUAUGAGCAUGCAUGUUCAUAUUAGAUGUUACUGUUAGUAGCCUUGAUGUAUUUCAGUAAGUGGGGAAUGGUAUAUUUUGAGUUUAAAACAUUUCUAAGUGUCAUUUGAUCUGGAGUUAAUUUUAACCCUAACCCUCCUCAAUCCUUCACCUGUUGGAGGACUGAGGAGUGUAAGGGUUAAUGAUUUUUGAAGUUUUCCCCUGACACUAACAUAUUAGUUACAGUUUAUGAGAAAAUGCUCAGCAUUGUCGUACGUGUUGCAUGUUUCACAAAAUCCGUUCGUGUGUUUACCGAUUUUUUUUAUAGAAGCUACAUGUAUUUAGAUUUUUACACAUAUCAAGCCGGAGUCUGUGAAUCUGAACUUCUUGCCAGCGUGAGAGGUUCCACGUGUUCAUGUUAUGGGAAACAAUGGGUUGUAUUUUAGUAUGAAAGAAGCUUUAGAAUUAUUCCAUUCCCGUUGCCACUGUUGCUUGAUGCAACUUUUGAGUUGAUGUUUAACUUCUGUUAUAGAAAGGGGUAGUUUAUGGUCAAUAAUAGUUUUUUAGUACCCUUUUCAGCAAUCUGGUCAACUUGUUUGUUUCCUUUAACUUCACAGUGUCCUGGUGUCCAUUCAAAAAUAACAUUGUUAGCCUGAUUUUGAAUAUUAAUAAGUGUAUGCCGAAUAUCACAAGUUAAUUUGUUUCUUGGGAUAGGCCGAGAUAUAGCUUGUAUAGCAUUUAGACAAUCUGUGAAUAUACAGGAUUGCAUAGGCUGGGCAUCUUCAAUCCAUUCAAGGGCCAGUAAAAUGGCAAAAAGUUCCGCUGUAAAAAUAGAGGCUUCGUUGUUUAAGGGUCCAGUCCACUAA
rnacentral:lncRNA from 1 species